UCCGGUUUGUCACCGGCAGUCUCACUAGAGUGCCCUUUCGUAGCAACUAGUGACAAGGGUUGCGCUCGUUGCGGGACUUAACCCAACAUCUCACGACACGAGCUGACGACAGCCAUGCAGCACCUGUGUCCAGGCUCCCUUUCGGGCACACUCGACUCUCAUCGAGCUCCCUGGCAUGUCAAGGGUAGGUAAGGUUCUUCGCGUUGCAUCGAAUUAAUCCACAUCAUCCACCGCUUGUGCGGGUCCCCGUCAAUUCCUUUGAGUUUUAACCUUGCGGCCGUACUCCCCAGGCGGUCAACUUCACGCGUUAGCUUCGUUACUAAUGGGUUUAACCCCACCAACAACCAGUUGACAUCGUUUAGGGCGUGGACUAC
rnacentral:misc_RNA from 1 species